UGGGGAAUAUUGCGCAAUGGGCGAAAGCCUGACGCAGCAACGCCGCGUGAGUGAGGAAGGCCCUCGGGUUGUAAAGCUCUGUCAGAUGGGAAGAACAUCAGUUGGUCUAAUAGGCCUUCUGCCUGACGGUACCAUCAAAGGAAGCACCGGCUAACUUCGUGCCAGCAGCCGCGGUAAUACGAAGGGUGCAAGCGUUGUUCGGAUUUACUGGGCGUAAAGCGCGCGCAGGCGGAUUGUUAAGCCAGAUGUGAAAUCUCGGGGCCCAACCCCGAAACUGCGUCUGGAACUGAUAAUCUAGAAUCUUGGAGAGGGAAGUGGAAUUUCGCAUGUAGGGGUAAAAUCCGUAGAGAUGCGAAGGAACACCAGAGGCGAAGGCGGCUUCCUGGCCAAGUAUUGACGCUGAGGCGCGAAAGCGUGGGGAGCAAACAGG
rnacentral:rRNA from 1 species